AGUGAACGCUGGCGGUAGGCCUAACACAUGCAAGUCGAACGGCAGCACAGUAAGAGCUUGCUCUUACGGGUGGCGAGUGGCGGACGGGUGAGGAAUACAUCGGAAUCUACUUUUUCGUGGGGGAUAACGUAGGGAAACUUACGCUAAUACCGCAUACGACCUACGGGUGAAAGCAGGGGAUCUUCGGACCUUGCGCGAUUGAAUGAGCCGAUGUCGGUUUAGCUAGUUGGCGGGGUAAAGGCCCACCAAGGCGACGAUCCGUAGCUGGUCUGAGAGAAUGGUCGGCCGCACUGGAACUGAGACACGGUCCAGACUCCUACGGGAGGCAGCAGUGGGGAAUAUUGGACAAUGGGCGCAAGCCUGAUCCAGCCAUACCGCGUGGGUGAAGAAGGCCUUCGGGUUGUAAAGCCCUUUUGUUGGGAAAGAAAAGCAGCAGGUUAAUACCCCGCUGUUCUGACGGUACCCAAAGAAUAAGCACCGGCUAACUUCGUG
rnacentral:rRNA from 1 species